ACAUAACUGAUGCCUCCGCGUAUCGACUUUGUGCGCAUUUUAGCUAUUAUGUGUUCUUUUAAUUAAAAUGAUUCUUUUUAAGAUUCAUCUAUUAAAAAUUUGCUUCGGCAUAAUUUUUUUUGAUGAUCUUGUUACUUUGAGUAAAUUAGAGUGUUCAAAGCAAACAGAUAUAGCAUUUGUGCGUUUGAAUACUACAGCAUGGAAUAACAAAAUUGAACAAGUCAGAAUUUUUUUGUUCUUUUUUCUUAUUUUGGCUUAGUUACGAUUAAUAGGAGUAGCUUGGGGGCAUUUGUAUUCAGAUGUCAGAGGUGAAAUUCUUAGAUUUUCUGGAGACAAACAACUGCGAAAGCAUUUGCCUAAAAUACUUCCAUUAAUCAAGAACGAAAGUUAAGGGAGUGAAGACGAUCAGAUACCGUCGUAAUUUUAACCAUAAACUAUGCCGACUAGGCUUUGGAUGAAAGAUUUUAAAAUAAGAGUUUUUCUUUUCUCUCCGGAGAUUAGAGCUCUUAGAUUGCUUCCUUCAGUGCCUUAUGAGAAAUCAAAGUCUUUGGGUUCUGGGGCGAGUAUUCGCGCAAGCGAGAAAGUUAAAAGAAUUGACGGAAGGGCACCACCAGGCGUGGAGCUUGCGGCUUAAUUUGACUCAACACGGGAAAACUCACUAGUUUAAGACAAGAGUAGGAUUGACAGAUUAAUAGCUCUUUCUUGAUUUCUUGGAUGGUGAUGCAUGGCCGUUUUUAGUUCGUGGAUAUGAUUUGUCUGGUUAAUUCCGAUAACGAACGAGAUCUUAACCUGCUAAUUAGCGGCAAAUACGAUAUAUUCUUAUGUAGAAUUGAAUAUAGUGGAUUUGUUGGAUUUUGAAGAAAAUAUUGGAAUUACGUUAAAUGUGAUUCCUUUCCCUUUUCUACUUAAUUUACAUUUCCAUCUAUUUCUUUUUUGCGUAUGAAUGUAUUUGCUUGAUUGUAAAGCUUCUUAGAGGAACGAUGUGUG
rnacentral:rRNA from 1 species